ACGUGCAGUCGAGCGGUAACAGACAUAAAGAUUCAGCUUGCUGAAUCCGGUGCUGACGAGCGGCGAACGGGUGAGUAACGCGUAGGAAUCUACCCAGUAGCGGGGGAUAGCCCGAGGAAACUCGGAUUAAUACCGCAUACGCCCUGAGGGGGAAAGGGGGCAAUUUAUUGCUCUCACUAUUGGAUGAGCCUGCGUAAGAUUAGCUUGUUGGUAGGGUAAUGGCCUACCAAGGCGACGAUCUUUAGCUGGUCUGAGAGGACGAUCAGCCACAUUGGGACUGAGACACGGCCCAGACAUCUACGGAUGGCAGCAGUUAAGAAUAUUGGACAAUGGGGGCAACCCUGAUCCAGGUAUACCGCGUGUGUGAAGAAGGCCCUAGGGUUGUAAAGCACUUUAAUCAGAGAAGAAGCAUUUUAAGUUAAUACCUUAAUUUGUUGACGUUAACUGAAGAAUAAGGACCGGCUAACUCCGUGCCAGCAGCCGCGGUAGUACGGAGGGUCCAAGCGUUAAUCGGAAUUACUGGGCGUAAAGCGCGCGUAGGCGGUUUAGCAAGUUGUAUGUGAAAGCCCUGGGCUCAACCUAGGAACUGCAUCCAAAACUACUAAGCUAGAGUACGAGAGAGGAGAGUAGAAUUUCUGGUGUAGCGGUGAAAUGCGUAGAUAUCAGAAGGAAUACCAAUGGCGAAGGCAGCUCUCUGGCUCGUCACUGACGCUGAGGUGCGAAAGCGUGGGUAGCAAACAGGAUUAGAUACCCUGGUAGUCCACGCCGUAAACGAUGACAACUAGCCGUUGGGCAGAUUUAACUGUUCAGUGGCACAGCUAACGCAUUAAGUUGUCCGCCUGGGGAGUACGGCCGCAAGG
rnacentral:rRNA from 1 species